AGGCAGUCCUUGACUGGCGUUAGCGCUGCAAGUGCAGGCACGGCUGAUCCUCUGUCCGUUGCCACCUUAGCCUGCUGCUGCCACCCUGGCGCCGCGAACUCUGUGCCUCCACCUUGUCUUGGGACGGCCGGCGCUAAGAAUUCAUGCUACGACAGUUGAUUUAGCCAGAAGGUGACACCAAACACAAUCAGAAAUCAUGCCAGUGGUGAAGAGGUAUAUUGAGCCCUGCCUGGUCCAGUGAGGCUACUAGAGAAUUGGAAGAGGCUCAAAUCAGCAUUCUGCACAUGGUUAUCAAACCAUUGUGAAGUUUUGGUGGGGUGAAUUGGAUAUCUUGCCCAAGAUUAUAGCUAGUUGGUGUAGAAAAUGGAUUUGAAUCCAAGCCAGUACUGUGUCUUCUACCAGUGCUUCCUCUAGAUUCCAUCUAAGCCCAAGGGUGCCGUGUGAGACAGAAAUAUUUUUAUUCCAUGCCAAAAGAUUUUUAUAAUAGCCUCUGAGAUUGUGCUCCCCUGAUGAAGGAAAUUUCCAUGGUGUAAAAUUUUAUUAAGCAUAAAAUCACCUGGGAUGCUUGUUAAA